AUGGAGUAUGAGUUCAUGAUGGACUCCGAGUUCAGUAGAAUGCUUCGCAAGGCGAGUCCAGCUAAUCGUAAGCCUUUAAGCAGAGGAGCAGUUUUUUCUUGCGGUAGAGCCAAAAGCUACUGCAAUCCACCAAAAAAUGUUAAUAAGCGCCGUGGGCUAUACGACCGGACUCCCAGUCCCUUCAAGUAGUUAUUUUGCUAGUAUAGCCAUGCCCGGCGCUUCAGCUAUCUCCUCUGCAAGUGGAAAAUUGGUUUUUAUAAAUAAAAUUAUCACUAGCGUGUUAUUCUCCUUCUCUUCUAAUUUUGUUCUAUUGAUAUCAGAACUACAUAUAUGAAAUCUCUGGCUUUGAGAUAAUACUCUUCAUUUUUCUUUUUUAUAAAAGGAAGUGUCAUUUGAUCAAUAAAAUAGUCAUAGAUAUUUAUAAUUAACAAUAUUGGUAUGAAAAAUUAUUGUCUAAUAAAAUAAGACAUUUUUGUAACUAAGAACCAUUGCCAAAUAAUAACACUUUUAUUACUAAUCCAAUUAACAACAUUUUUCUUGAGAAAGUUGGCUAUUUAUAUAUUCAACAUGGCACCUUUUUUGCCAAUGAGCACAACUUUUUGUAUAGAUAUAUUUUUUAUGUAUGGAUACAACUCUUUGUAUAUUUAC
rnacentral:misc_RNA from 1 species